rnacentral:rRNA from 1 species
GACGAACGCUGGCGGCGUGCUUAACACAUGCAAGUCGAACGGUAAGGCCCUUCGGGGUACACGAGUGGCGAACGGGUGAGUAACACGUGGGUGAUCUGCCCUGCACUUCGGGAUAAGCCUGGGAAACUGGGUCUAAUACCGGAUAGGACCACUGCCUGCAUGGGUGGUGGUGGAAAGCUUUUGCGGUGUGGGAUGGGCCCGCGGCCUAUCAGCUUGUUGGUGGGGUGAUGGCCUACCAAGGCGACGACGGGUAGCCGGCCUGGGAGGGUGACCGGCCACACUGGGACUGAGAUACGGCCCAGACUCCUACGAGAGGCAGAAGGGGGGAAUAUUGCACAAUGGGCGCAAGCCUGAUGCAGCGACGCCGCGUGGGGGAUGACGGCCUUCGGGUUGUAAACCUCUUUCAGCACCGACGAAGCGCAAGUGACGGUAGGUGCAGAAGAAGGACCGGCCAACUACGUGCCAGCCGCCGCCGUAA